rnacentral:rRNA from 1 species
UACGGAGGGUGCAAGCGUUAUCCGGAUUUAUUGGGUUUAAAGGGUCCGUAGGCGGAUCUGUAAGUCAGUGGUGAAAUCUCACAGCUUAACUGUGAAACUGCCAUUGAUACUGCAGGUCUUGAGUAAGGUAGAAGUGGCUGGAAUAAGUAGUGUAGCGGUGAAGUGCAUAGAUAUUACUUAGAACACCAAUUGCGAAGGCAGGUCACUAUGUCUUAACUGACGCUGAUGGACGAAAGCGUGGGGAGCAAACAGG